rnacentral:other from 1 species
UUCCCUGCGGUGCGCGUUGCACAUCCGCGUUUUGAGCCAACACAUCUACUUAGGGAGUCCCGGAGCUCUUUUUAUCAAAGAAAAGCCGCCUAGAGCGGAACUCUGAGGUAAGAAGGAGGGCACCCACCUGCACAUGCAGGUUCAAAACUAGGAUUAAGACGGCAUUGCGGGGUC